rnacentral:rRNA from 1 species
UAACACCGGCACCUCGAGUGGUAGCCGCUAUUAUUGGGCCUAAAGCGUUCGUAGCCGGUUUGGUAAAUUCUUGGGUAAAUCGUACCGCUUAACGGUGCGGAUUCCGGGGACACUACCAGACUUGAGACCGGGGGAGAUCAGAGGUACUUGUGGGGGAGCGGUGAAAUGUUGUAAUCCCACAGGGACCACCAGUGGCGAAGGCGUCUGAUCAGAACGGCUCUGACGGUGAGGAACGAAACCCUGGGGCGCAAACGGGAUUAGAUACCCCGGUAGUCCAGGGCGUAAACGCUGCUGACUUGGUGUUGGGGAUCCUACGAGGAUGUCCAGUGCUGGCGCGAAGGUAUUAAGUCAGCCGCCUGGGGAGUACGGUCGCAAGACUG